AAUUCGGCUCGCCCUUCGCCUUCUGGCUCCCCCGUUAUUGUUCCCCUAGUUUCCUACUAGUGGUAUUUCUGAAGAAGGCGUAGCAGGAUACCUGCUGCUCAAUCACAGGUGGUUCUCAACAUAAGGUGUUUUAAUAUCCCUUUACACUUGAGAUUUGUCGGUAAUCACGGGCUUUAAUUUCCUCCUUGAUCUGUGGUUUCCCGUUGCACCUGCUCAGACCUGCUCAUAUUAUCAUGCCAUACACCAAAAUUUCCCUGCUGCUUGGCUACCUCCGUACCUCGGUUCGGAUUCUUUGGCCCAACUCCACGAACUUCGGAUUCACACCUUGCUCUGCCAACUCUGAAGCAAAGGCAAUGGCUUCCCUCGCCGUGCUUCUGCUCUGCGUCGCUGUCUCCGGCGUCCACGUCCUACAGCCGGUCCUUGAUUACUACCUGCUCCAGAUCUCCCCGUGCAACCCCGUCGUGUCGGCCACCGCCGCCGCCGCCGUCACGCGCUCCUUGUCCUUGCCACAACUUACUUUGCUGGCAUCAUACUUGUUUAUCUCCAAAUCGCGCCGGCGACGCCACCCGCGCUAGUGCCACCGGUUGCGCUGAUGAGUCUGCUGCUGGCCAUGGCAUGUGCCCUGCUUCUCCUCCUUGCCACCAUGCAGCUCGUGCCUCGGCUGUGAGCACGAGCCAAAACUGCCGAAAGAAAUCAUCUGGAGACGAAAUUGAGUAUGCUGUGCUCCAGCUAUGAAUAUAUUAUUCAAUACUGUGGUACUACUUGUGUGUAAUCUUCUGAGAUCUCUGUACAAUAGGGGUGCCGUGUCGGUUUCUAUGUUCUAUGUUCUUGCUCUGCCUGAGAAGUCCAGCCGGCGUCGUCCAUGUGGAGUCCUCGUGGUUGUAUGUGUUUGGCAACAUUUCCUCAUUUCCUGCUGGGCGCGAAGGAAGAUGAAAAUUAAGCAGCUGUGAGGAUAUUGUUUAAUACGCAUCGACUCUAUGAACUCGGUUGAUCUGUUGAAUCUCAGAUGCAUGUAUGUGUAAUGUUAUCAUGUAUUCGUGUGUGUAAACUUCACUUGCACUACUAUGUUAAAAUGUUGAAUUUCUCUUCCA